rnacentral:rRNA from 1 species
UGGGGAAUUUUGCACAAUGGGGGAAACCCUGAUGCAGCGACGCCGCGUGAUUUAGAAGGCCUUCGGGUUGUAAAAAUCUUUUGUAUGGGAAGAAAAUGACAGUACCAUACGAAUAAGGACCGGCUAAUUACGUGCCAGCAGCCGCGGUAAUACGUAAGGUCCGAGCGUUGUCCGGAAUCAUUGGGCGUAAAGGGUACGUAGGCGGAUAAGCAAGUUAGAUGUGAAAGGCAUGGGCUCAACCCAUGUAAGCAUUUGAAACUGUAAUUCUUGAGAAGUGGAGAGGUAAGUGGAAUUCCUAGUGUAGCGGUGAAAUGCGUAGAUAUUAGGAGGAAUACCUGUGGCGAAGGCGACUUACUGGACACAAAUCUGACGCUGAGGAACGAAAGCGUGGGUAGCAAACAGG